AGAUACCCGGGUAGUCCACGCCGUAAACGAUGGAUACUAGCUGUUGGAGGUAUCGACCCCUUCAGUAGCGAAGCUAACGCGUUAAGUAUCCCGCCUGUGGAGUACGGCCGCAAGGCUAAAACAUAAAGGAAUUGACGGGGACCCGCACAAGCGGUGGAUUAUGUUCUUUAAUUCGAUGAUAACCGAAGAACCUUACCAGGGCUUGACAUCCAGGGAAGGUCUGCGAAAGUAGACUGUGCCUUUUGGAACCCUGUGACAGGUGAUGCAUGGCCGUCGUCAGCUCGUGUCGUGAGAUGUUAGGUUAAGUCCUUCAACGAGCGCAACCCUUGCAAGUAGUUGUAUUUUUCUACUUGGACUGCCCCGGUAACGGGGAGGAAGGAGGGGAUGAUGUCAGGUCAGUAUUUCCCUUACGUCCUGGGCUAGAAACGUAAUACAAUGGCUAGUACAAUGCGCAGCGAAGCCGCGAGGUGAAGCAAAUCGCAUCAAAGCUAGUCCCAGUUCGGAUUGGAGGCUGAAACUCGCCUCCAUGAAGUCGGAAUCGCUAGUAAUCGCAGAUCUAACAGGCUUA
rnacentral:rRNA from 1 species